ACCGCGGGGCUCAGGAAGCAAGUGCCCAGCAGGUCGGUGACGGCCAGUCCGGUGACCAGCACGGUGAAGGCCGAGGGGCGUGACCGUCGCCGCGCCCCCAAGAUGCCUAGUGCCAGCCCGUUGCCCACCACGCCCGCCACGAACAUCAGGGUGCUGGUGGCUGGGCCCACCGAGUCCCGCACGUAGUGUUUUACAGGCCUUACUGCGAUCUCUGUUCCCCGGACACAAUUCGCUCCUUCCAGAAGGCUGGAGAAGGAGGUGGCCGAGCCAGAGGAAAAAAUGCCAGUCCCUGGAGCCCAUCCCAACUUGCAAGCUCACCCAGCCAGCUGAGUCUGGGAAGAGGGAUUCGAGGGACUUGGGACUUGGUGUCCCCACCGUCGGGGGCAGGGAGUGGGGGGUUGGGGGGGUACCCAGGGCUUCCAAGAGCACCAAAGGGGAGCGCCCUCCCACCCUCCGGCUUCUUGCUCCAGCAAUCCCAGGCCCUUAGGCCAAGCCCUGGUGACCUUGACUUCCAGGAAUAAUUCUGGCCACAGACAGCAGUCCAAGACUCCAACAUCACUGUCACAUGGUUCUCUCCCACACCCCAAACACACCCCCGGCCACCGCCACCCUCGGGCCAGUGUGGUCGGCCUGUAUGUCCCAGCUGCCAGCACAGCCGGUAACCGGUCCUGGUUCCCACUGAGUCCACGGCUCCCCAUUCAGCCUCCCCGCCCCUAAGGGCCCAAGACCCUGUCGGAUACCCCUCAGGGGAGGCCCGUUUGAGUAGAGGGAUGACAAACUCCAUUUGCCCUGAGCUCCUGUCCCCAUCCCACCACUAACUAACACCAGCUUCACGGGCCUGGUGGCCAACCGCGGCCAGUGGCCCAUCCCAGAGCCCCCUUUGUCACAAGGAGAGAGCCUGUGCCCGUGUUGCCUCAUGUCCAAGGCCAGGAGGGAUGCUCCCGAUCUCCAGGGCCGGACACUGGGUAGCUGCAGACUUCCCUCUCUGUACCCAGGCCCCUCAGUGACCACAACCCCCGCACCCCUUCUCCCCCUCUCCCUAUCGCCCGUGCCCAGCUGGCAUCCCGGUUUCCGGCCUCAGCUCCAGCCAUAGCAGGGGCUCUGAGGGGGGGAAGCACCCGUGUGUAUGGGCCUCAGGCCUCCUAGCUAUGUGGUCCCCCCCCCCCCCCCGCCAACCUGCCACCGCCCCAUGCUCUGCGGUCCCCAGACAGACCAGAGGGAACUCAGGAAGUUGUAUCAUAUUAAUGAAAGAUGAUGCCUGGCAGGCUUCUGUCCUGUCGAAGCAUCAGGGGAGUUGGGGGGGGGGGGGGCGGGGGUAGCUCCGGUUCCUGGAGGCUCCCUCCCACUGGCUUCCUGUCCCCACUGGGGAUGUGAAGCGUUCGGGAAGUCCACUCUGCUCCCAUGCCCAGUGAGGCCUCACACACCCUGCCCCCCCUCCAGGCCUCAGUUUAUCCACCUGUGCCACUGGGGGCCGGGAGUCCCGGGGCCAAUGUCAGUGCUGAACACACUUCCACUUACUUUCCGGGAACCCUGACAUCCUGCCCAGCUAGGGCCACGCCCACAGCAAGGGCUACAAAGGGUUCCUCUUCCUGCAGGUGCCUUGGGGUGAAAGGUCGCCCCAGCUGUGCUAUGAGGGGGCGGGCGGCUUCCACGGGCCGGGGAACCGUGGGAAGGAGCCGCCCCGGGUGGGUGAGUCAGCCUCCUCCCUCUCGCACUGGUCGAACGCGACUCAGGCGUCCCCAGAAGGACCACGGACAGAGGGGCAGAGGAGAGGACAGCCCAGGGACAGCUGGCGCCGGCCGGCACAGAACCUGGGCAGGGUGGGGCGGGGGGGGGGGGGAGUGGGCACCCGGGGGCGGGGUGUGCCAGUGACCGUGGUGGAUGUGUGACCUUCACAUGUGUGUCUGUGUGGGAUUAGUGUCACCCGGGUGAGCCUUGGAAGAGCGCUGUGAGUGUGUGUGUGUGUGUGUGCACUCUGGCGUCCCUUUCCUCGAAGGUCCACUCGCCCGUCGGUGUCUGUUGACCGUCUUGUUGAGGGUGUCAGCGCCUGGGUACCGGGGGCCCGUGGCCUCUUCGUGGCUGUGUCUCCCGCGUCGGUUUGCUGCCCGGCGCCUUGGGAAGACACGGGUUCUGGAAGCACCCCCCUCCGCCACCUGCCGGCCACUUGCUGUGUGACUCUGGACAACGACUUGGUCUAGCUCGGCCCUGAUGUCCUCCUUCCUCGAGUGGCUGCCUCGCGCUUGCUGGGGGCGUGGUGUGGACAGUGGGGGCAGAAGCCACCCCACCCGCCUCCAGGAAGCCCUCAGACAGGAGUGAGCACAGCCGCGUCAGCUCUGACACCUGCCAAGCCUACCUGUCCUCCUGUGCCCUCUGGCCGCUGCAAGGAGCCGCUGUGUGCCCAUCCUGACCUGUCCCUCAUCGGCAGGUCCCAACACCUUCAGUCAGAGGCCCUUUUCCUCUGCCCACCGCCCUUUCCUGCACCGCAAAUGGGCCCUUGCCUACCCGCCAGACUCUGCCUCUCACCCCUGCUCCAGGGGGCUCUCCCCUGUCGUCCCUGCCCUGCCUUUGCGGGGGGCGGGGGGUGCGCCCCUCGCUUCCGUCCUGCAAGCCCCCUCCCGACACCUCCAGUCGCUUCUGGAAGAGCUCAUCCGUCGGCCCCCAUUCCCACCUCAAGCCCCCACUGGCCAGGUGAUGUCACCGCCCUGUGCCUGAUGCCACGUCUGAAACAUGGGGAUAAACCGGGUCUUUGGGGGGGGGGGGAGGGGUUAUCCAACAAUUAAGUGAGGUUGGGGCUUCAGAAACAGGACUCCAGGAAGUGAUGGUCACAGUUGUGGCUCGGGGCCACCCCGCCCCCAGACCCCUUCAGCAGAACCAAGCACUGCUCAGGGCCUGUGGGGUACAGAGGGAAGACAGCCUGGCAGGGGCAGCCCUCCGGGUUGGGGGUGAAGAGGGAGGGGACUGCGGUCACCUCUCUGCCUCUUGGCCUGGCUCUGACCCCAGAGCUGACCUCACAGCUGGGGCUGGCCGGAUAGAGCAGCGGGUCACCAGAAGCCCGUGCUCCCAAGUCAUACCCGCUAACAAGAUUAUCCAGAUUUGCACGCAUGGAUGCUGGUCACCCGGGACCUGCUCUGUCCGGCUCAUCCGGCCUCCCCCGCCUCCUCCAGUCUAGGCUCAAGAGAUCCUGACACUCGUGAGGUGCAGAGCUCUGGAUCCUAGCCGGACAGGGGAAGAGGAUUCUGCCCCCCCCCCCCGCCCCCCGGGGUUGAAAGACUCCAGCAUGCUGGCCCUCUGAGGUCCUGCAAUUGGAGAUUCCUUCGCCUUUCCGGUUCUAAGAGGCAAGGAUGCCGGGUCUGAGAAAUUCCAGAACCCUCUGGCGACUUCCCUCCCGGCAUCCCUCCUCCCCAGCUCAUCCUUGGCUCUCUCUGUCCCCAGUCUCCCCCGGGGCUCCCACAGACAUGAUGCAACCGGGGCUGGAGCCGGCUGAGAGGUGGGAGGCAGGAGGGAGAUGUAAUUACAGAAGCUUCUGCCUCGAUCCAGCAGGAAGCUCGGAGUUGGGGCCCAGGGGACCCCAAUCCGAUGUGAAUAAUGGAGCGCUCGCCAGAAGCGCGCAUGGCCCCCUCUAGGGAGGGGAGGCCCAGUGAGGGGGCUCCAUCCAGGUCCAGGGGUCCAGCAACCCCCCACCACCCCGUUAGCCCCAAGCUGGGGAGCACAGGUGUUCCUCUGGAGAGAAGAGGAAGUCUGUGAGGACCCUGGGGGGGGGGGGUGUCUAACUCAGUGGCCCUCCAGCCACCUCACCGGGUCUGCGGUCUGCGACUCAUUUUCGACAUUCAAGACAUU